GCUGGGCAUGGUAGUGCAUGCCUGUAGCCCCAGCUACUCGGGAGGCUGAGGCAGGAGAAUUGCUUGAACCCAGGACGUGGAGGUUGCAGUGAGCAGAGAUUGUGCCACUGCACUCCAGCCUGGGUGACAGAGUGAAACUCUGCCUCAA
rnacentral:SRP_RNA from 1 species